AGGCUUCCAGCCUAGGGCGCAGGACACCGCUCUCCAACAAAUGCACGUCCCCGCCUUCCACCCAGGCGAGAACGCACCGAAGGCCUACGCAAACUCCUCCACUUCUGGGAAGGCUGCCCGGUUUGCCUUCUUCCUCCAGAGCCGAGACAUGGCCUCAAGUCGACUUGUCUUUCCCGCUAACCAACCCCAGGGCAUUCAUCGCGUGUCCAUGGGCCGUGGGACUCAAAUCUGAAUCUAGAGGGAAAGGGGAGGGGGCGUGCCCCAGCCUGUAGGAGACGAAUCAUCACCACCACAGCUCCGACUGUAGACGGUCCCACCGUGUAAGGACCCCAGGAAAUGAAGCCUCAAGCAGGGAGGCUGGCGAGCUCUCGACCCAGCGCUUUUCACGGGCAGCACCUACCUUCCCCUGCAUUGUGCCGACAUCUGGGGACUCGGGCUGGUCCUCCAGCUGAUCUGCCUCCUCUCAUUACUCAUUCCUAGGUUCAGCCUAAAACCUGGGCCUAGUACCCUCCUGAGUCCUGCUCCAACUCAUCUGCUUCAGCGACAUGGGGUAGGAGAGCGGCACUGGGGGAAUGAGGGAGAUAGAAGGAAGAAUCACUCGGGGGAAACCGAGUGGAGACAACCUUGGCUCUCCUGAGUUGCCCCUUGCUCGGUUGCAGGUCAGUGACUGUCACCCCAUGCAGCAGAACCAGGGUGCCAGAGCCCCUGGGCCAGGCCAGGGAGGCACAAUCUGCAGGGAGAUGAUAGGACCGAGCCUGGUCCAGACCAGACAGGACCCUCAGUCAACAAUCCUGGGCCACUGGCUGAGCAAUGGGAUGCCACGAGGCAGCCCUGGUGGCAGGGAAGCAGCGGGGUAGACCCGGCUUCACGCAGCAGAGAAUUCUCAAGCAUGGCCUAUGGAAGACACAAGCCCAGGUGGGCCUGCAGCUGCCCCUCUGUCUGACCCCCAGGGCUCAGCCUACGCAGCGCCUGGCCAGAUGUGCCACCUUGGCAGGCCCUCUCCCCUCUCUGGGCUCCUUUCUCAUCUGAAAAGGGGCUAGGACAGCCCAUGAUUUGCUGCUCAGGUGCUCUGGGGAGCUAGUUAAAAAACAGACUCCUGUGUCCCACCCCUCCCAAAAAACUGGACGUCUGCAUUUCUUCAAUAUUUGGCUUGGGAAGCAUUGGCCAGAACUCACAGCACAGCGGGUGAGGAAGGAGCAGUGGGAUGAGACAGAGCAUGACCCAGAGUCCUCAGGAGGAACAGAACAGCUAGCCAACACCCUGUGCCUCCCCGACACAGCCCGCCUCGCCUCAGAAGAGGAGCCAGCCUUCAGGGAAGCUGCCUGGAGCAUCUCCUCCUGCUUGUUCCCAAGAGCUGUGCCGGGCCCCUCCUGCACCCUGACCCUGUCCAGCCACCCACUCCUCAGCCUGGCUGGCACACCAGCUUCCCAGAGAGCAGGUCUGAACCAGCGGGACCCUCAGGAGCCUGAGGUCAUCCCUGGGCCUCCACUUCUGUGGGGAGGGGAGACCAGGCCUCAUGGGCAGGCAGUGCCCUGCUGGCAGGGCCCCAGGCAGCAGUCUCUGCAGGGACGGGCAAGGACACAAAAGGCCUGGCCCUCAAGGGAGCUGGCCCCUGCUCCAUCCUAGUUGGCCAAGGAGGGCGGUGCAGAGAGGAGGUGGAUGGCUGGAACCUUGGGGGAUGAGACCCUCCUCCCCCAGUAGCUGCAUUAGAACAGCACUGGGGGUGGGGCUGCUGGUGUGAGCAGGAGGCAGCAAGGGAAACAGGCUCCGACACAGGCAUUUCAAAAAUUUGCUCCUUUUCCACUUAAAUUCCCUCCCCCAAAAGCCUGUGCCUCCCAGAAUGGCAUUUCCGCUUUGGAAACAAGGCCCCAGAAGUUAAGCCCCACAGUGUUGAUGGGGAUGUAGCUGGGGGGUGGGGGAGGAGCACCCACUGGCCAGGCUCUGGCCGGGGUAUAUGGGGGCAGAACCUCACCCCACCCCCAGUCCAGCCUCCCGGACCUCCGCUGUCAAGGACAGGGAUGCAGCCCCACAUACCCAGCACAGCCUCUGCGCCCAGCCAGUGCCAGGGGCCCUAUGCCCAUGCAUUUAUUUUGUGCACACAGCAAUCCUGCAAAACAGGCUCACCGUUAGCCCCAAUUUUUUUUUUUUUUGAGAUGGGGUUUCACCAUAUUGGUCAGGCUGGUCUCGAACUCCUGACCUCAAGUGAUUCACCCACCUCAGCCUCCCAAAGUGCUGGGAUUAUAGGCGUGAGCCACUGCACCCAGCCUAGCCCCAUUUUUCACAUGAAGAGACCGAGACCCAGUUUACCAACCACUGCCCCAUCCCACACAUUUCGGGGCACAGAAGGGACAGGGCCAGGGAAGAAAUGGGGCUGCUAGACCUCAGCCCACCCUGCAGCAGGAAGGGAAUCUAGGGACAGGGACAGCAGCACUCCAGGCUCAGAAAGCCAAACACCCCUGUCACACUCAGACUGCAAAAGGACAGGCAACUGAGACCUAAGCACCUUCCUCCCCAGUAAAACUGAGCUCAGCACUGGGGCCAGCACCACCCCCACCCCACUAAGUUUAGCCCCAUUGGUGAGAAGGGGUGCAGUAAACAUUUGUUGACUGGGUGGGACCUCAGAGGUGGCCCUCAUGGGAUAGGCUGGCCUGGGUGAAGAAAUCUGAGGCUGCCCCAGUCUGGAGGAUGGGGGUGGUUAAGUCACGCCUAAGUGCAGAGGCACACACUUGCAUACACACAGCACACACGCAUGCGUAUACACACAGUGGGACUGGCAGCAAGGAGAGACGCCCUGAAUAAGGAGGAGCUGGGAGAGGUUGUUGCCAGACCAAGGGAGACAGCUGCAGAUAUGUGGCCGGGGCACCAGCACAGGGCCCUCCCAGACAGUUGUGUCAUCCCAGGAGUGGCCUGGCACCUCCAGCCAGGUUGAAGAUGAGCUCACAGGCUGGAAGGGAUGUCUCCAACCCCUCAGGGCCUGGAAUAGCUGUUUGUACAGAAAACAGGUGGACCCAGCACACCAGGACACUAAGUGUCUGGAGUGGAGGGGGUUAUACUGGACCCAAGUGGAAAGAUAAGCCUGGGAUAGGGUUCCUGCUCUUUGGGCUUUCUGAGAUCUGCCUUCAGGACAGACCCACUGCACAGAACUUUUCUUGCUCAAUGCUCACCAAUGUCCACUGCAGCAUUUAUGACAGCAAAGCAUGGAGCAAAACAGGCUCACCUAUCAAUGCUAAUUCUAGGGGACCGGUGAGACAAACCACAGCGCCUCAGUAGAAUAGCUUGCAGCUAUUAGAUGGCCUCUUCCAAAGACUGAAAUAAUGCAAGAAAAUGCUUACAACAAACUAAAGUGAAAAGAGCAGGCUAAAACCAGUUUGCACAGUGUAAAGGCACACAGCCCCCUCCCCUCCUGAAGCCUCGGCCUCCCAGCAGCAGGGAGGGUGGACUCGGUUGAUGGCCAGCUCUGGGAGCGGCAGCAGGAGAGGAUUUCCUGAGGCCGGAGGUGAGCACUGCCAGCCCCAGGAACAGGAAGAAACGGUAUCUCUGGAGGGCCAAUGAGAGCUGACACCAUCCCCCUAGGCUGGACACUCACAGUGGCAAGCUCAAAACCAAGGCAAGGCUGGGCAAGGUGGCUCACGCCUGUAAUCUCAGCACUUUAGGAGGUCGAGACUAGCCUGUCCAACAUGGCGAAACUCCGUCUCUACUAAAAAUACAAAAAUUAGCUGGCCGUGGUGGCGGGCACCUGUAAUCCCAGCUACUCAGGAGGCUGAGGCAGGAUAAUUGCUUGAACCAGGAGGUGAAGCAGUGAGCUGAGAUCACGCCACUGUACUCCAGCCUGGGCGAUAGAGCAAGGCUCCAUCUCAAAAAAAAAAACAAAAAACAGCUGGGCACAGUGGCUCACGCCUGUAAUCCCAGCACUUUGGGAGGCCAAGGCGGGCAGAUCAUCUGAGGUCAAGAGUUCAAGACCAGCCUGACCAACAUGGUGAAACCCCGUCUCUACUAAAAAUACAAAAUUAGCCGGGCGUGGUGGCACAUGCCUGUAAUCCCAGCUACUCAGGAGGCUGAGGCUGGAGAAUCACUUGAACCCGGGAGGCGGAGGUUGCAGUGAGCCAAGAUGGUGCCAUUGCACUCCAGCCUGGGCGAGAGAGCGAAACUACGUCUCAAAAAAACAAAAACAAAACCCAGGCGAGGGCACGGAACCUUUGUGGAUAGCACGGAGGUGAACCUACUGUCACACACAGAACGGACAGCCCACACCCCAACACCAGUCAUUCCUCACUGCUGCCCUGGGACCAGGACGGAACGACGGCUACCUGGAGGCAGAGAGAGGGGCAAUGCCCCACGCAGCUCCCAUGGCCAGCAGAGCUCGCACCUUCCACCUCAUAACCCAGGCGUGUGCCUACUGAGAGGGAGACAAUGGCCCAGCACACAAGGACUGAGAGUGAGCCAUAGAAACAAUGGGGCUUGACCUGGAGGACACACGCAGGGCUGCAGCAAAGCCAAGGCCAAGGCCAGGGGUGAAGGUAAGCAGACAGAGGGAAGGUGGUGUGGGCCCCAGAACACCAGGGCACCAGUGGUAGGAAAUGGGGAGGUCUGCAGGUAUCACCCAGGCCCCCCACUCACCCUCCUGGCUGUAGGCCCCUCCCUUAAGGAGCCAUGAUCCCCAGGCAGGGGUGGAACCAGCCUCCCUCAGAGGCCCUGCCUGCCCCGUGCUGGCCCGACUGCUGCAGACCACACCUGAGCAGAGGCCUGCACCACUGCAGCGGCUCCCACGGCCUGCAAUGCCGCCUCAUUCCUGGGGGCACUUGGAGCAGGGCAGCAGCUGCAUAGAUGCGAUGGGGCCAGCUGGUUGCCCCAAUGCAGGUCACUCUCUGGUUGGAGUGAAGACAAGGACCUGACCAUCCAAGGCUCAAGAGGCCAGGGUCCUGCAGGCCAUGCCCGGGCAGGGGAGAGGCCAGGGUCAUCCCACCACCAAGGCCUUGGCAGAAACCACACUGACCAUAAAGAAAGGGCCACAGAACCCUAGGGGCAGAGGCCAAUCAGCCUGGGUCCAGCCCAGCCUCCUCCCCACGCUGGCUGCCCAGGAGUCAGGAAUGGGUCUGAGCCACUGCACUAGCCAACCAUGGCCACAUGAAGACAAUAAUCUCCACAGCAGUAGCUGCUGUUACUUAAUCACCCUCCUUCUAACAGCUCUGGUCACCCCUCACCAAAUUCUCACAAAAUCCCAGGAGCUCUGUGCUCUUAACAUCCCCAUGACACAGAGGAGGAAACUGAGGCUCAGGGAGGUUCAGUAACUCACUCAAGGCACAGAGCCAACACUGUUCACUCUAGAGCCCUUGACCUUGACCCACCAAAACACUCUCCCCACCCCGCAGCAGCCUCUCCAGGAACCCCUUUCAGCCUCAAGCAAGGCUCUGAGGAGAGUGGCUGAGAUCCCAGGCUCUGCACGGGGAUACAGCCACUGGCCUGUGGGGGCUCCACGGUACUCCUGGGGCCACAUACUCAGCAGGCGGCCAGGGGCAAGCUGCAGCCAGAAGGCACGAGAGACAGCGGGGCAAGCAGUCAUGGGUUCUGCAGUGUGAAGAGGGAGCCUGACACAACCACAUCACCCCACCAACAAAUGGACAAUGGCAGACGGCGCCGGGAAGGCUUCCUAUGGAUGAUGGCGCAGAGCUUGAGGUGAAUGGGAAUGACCUGGUGAACGAGGCAGCUGGCUGGAGAUCACUUCCUACAGAGGGAGGGACAGGCUGAGCCAAGGCCCAGCGGCAGAAGAGGGUGCGGCAGGGGCAGUGGGGCCUGAGCUGCGGACUUUGAACCUGGACACUGCCUCAUCCCACUCUCUCUGUCCACUGCCUGGCUGCCAGGCCAGCUAUGAACCCCAGGGCAGGCCUCAUGGCUCCUUGGGCAGCUCCCCCACUCACACCACUGCCUGGCACAGAGCCAGUUCCAGGAUUGCUGGCCAAGGUUUCAACCAGAUGCUAAGGCUGGUCUACUCAUCUCCAUCUACCACUGCUGGGGCUGGCUGGGGCUAGACCCACCCUGCUGCACAGCCUUGGGUGCUACCUGCUCUGAGCCCAGGGUGCUUUGCCUCCCAGGGACGCAGAAGAGGUGACACAAACUCAUCUUCGGGAAGCCACAGGUAGAGGGCUGGCUGCUGUCCACCGCUCAACAGGCUGCAGCCCCCACAAGUAGAGGCCAUGCAGGACGAUGCUUAUUUUAUGGCUUUGGAUCCUGCCAUAUCUGGCUCCCACCCUGGCUCCACCUCUCACUGGCCAGGUGACCCUGGCAAGACACAGGCCCUCUGUGGGCCUGUGAGGUCCUGAGCCCAGUGCCCAGCACACAGGGCGGCAUCCCUGAAAGGAGCCAUCCCUCAACGAAGGGGCACAGGAGGAGCUGGAGUGGCCACACUCACUUCACAGAUGGGAAGCAAGAAGCAGAACAGACAGCAGGGAGGCCUCUCUGCAGCUGGAAGCUGGCCUCUUACCUGGCAGGGCUGGGGGUGGCCAGCACCUGCCACCCCUAAACAUGGACUCCCAAGCCAAUGCCAGCCAGAGGUCUGAGGUGGGUGGCACAUUUCCUUCCAAAUGUGUCCUCUCAGCUGCAGGAAGAGUCAGGCCCAGAGCGCUGGGCGAGAGGAAGGCAUGGGAAUACCCACAGGGUGUCCAGGCAGCACACGAGCACUGCACUGCUCUAUGCCUGGAGCAGAGGAAGGGGCACUGAGCAGGUAGCAGGGACGCCCUGGCUCCUUCCCCUCUCUGGGUCCGGGACUGCAUGUGAGUCAAAUGACAAGGUGACACCAGCUGAUCCCCGGCAUCUCCCCUCCCCCAACACUCAGGGGGUCGCUACCCGCACAACCAGCCCACCAAUCUCUCACCCUGCUUCCCCUCCCAUCCCCUUCUGAAGCAUCUUAUAAUUUCUGUGGGCCAAAGUGCCUGCUGCGUCAGCCCAUCUAGGAAAAGACUGCCCAAAU
rnacentral:lncRNA from 1 species